AUACGUAGGGGGCGAGCGUUGUCCGGAAUGACUGGGCGUAAAGGGCGUGUAGGCGGUUGUCUAAGUCUGGAGUGAAAGUCCUGCUUUCAAGGUGGGAAUAGCUUUGGAUACUGGAUGACUUGAGUGCGGAAGAGGUAAGUGGAAUUCCCAGUGUAGCGGUGAAAUGCAUAGAGAUCACACAGAACACCGAUUGCGAAGGCAUCUCACGAAGGGGUGAUUGACGCUGAGGCACGAAAGCGUGGGGAUCAAACAGGAUUAGAUACCCUGGUAGUCGACGCAGUAAACGAUGAUGGCUAACCGCUGGGCUUAUCAGUUCAGUGGCCAAGCGAAAGCGAUAAGCCAUCCACCUGGGGAGUACGACCGCAAGGUUGAAAAUCAAAGGAAUUGGCGGG
rnacentral:rRNA from 1 species